AUUGAACGCUGGCGGUAUGCUUAAGACAUGCAAGUCGAACGGUAACAGACCUUCGGGUGCUGACGAGUGGCGGACGGGUGAGUAACACGUGGGAAUCUACCUUGUAGUGGGGGAUAAGCCAGGGAAACUUGGACUAAUACCGCAUACGCCCCAAGGGGGAAAGGCGCAAGUCGCUAUAAGAUGAGCCCGCGUCUGAUUAGGUAGUUGGUAGGGUAAAGGCCUACCAAGCCUGCGAUCAGUAGCUGGUCUGAGAGGAUGGCCAGCCACAUUGGGACUGAGACACGGCCCAGACUCCUGCGGGAGGCAGCAGUCGGGAAUAUUGGACAAUGGGGGCAACCCUGAUCCAGCAAUACCGCGUGUGUGAAGAAGGCCUGCGGGUUGUAAAGCACUUUUAGUAGGGAAGAUAAUGACGUUACCUACAGAAAAAGCACCGGCUAACUCCGUGCCAGCCGCCGCAGUAAUAC
rnacentral:rRNA from 1 species